CUCAUAAUUUCCGCCUCCGCCGGUUUCCCGCUGUUGCCUCUCCAAUCACCGAGGCUGCAAGACUAAGGACUGUUUAUCUCGCCAUUGGUUUAUGUUUCACUCUGCUUCCGUACAUUCAAGCUCCCCUGUAAUCAGGAUUAAUUUCUCUCAGUUUACUAUUAUGUUGAGAAGUUUAGGAUUUGUGGAGGCCAGUGCGGUGAGUUGCAAUUUUCAAAAGACAAAAGUUAGACCCUUUUAGUUCCAAGUCAAGGCAUCUUAACAACACAAUAAGCCGAGUGUGUGUAGGUACAUGCUUUCACUCCUUCACCCAAUUGGCAGAUUGGUGCAGACCUGCAAAGGACAAAAUGUUCUCAAACUUUUUCCAUCACUUCAAGCUUUUCUUCAGCCAAAGAUUCUUGGGAAGUUACAUCUGCUGGUUUUGAAAGUGAGAAGAAAUAUGUUGAUUUGGAUCUUCUUUUCCGAUCAUGCAACAAAAUUCCCCAUGUUAAGUGUCUUCACACUCUUCUCGUGGUGUCAGGGAGAGUUGAAAAUAUAUUCAUCUCUGCAAAACUCGUUAAUCUUUAAGCCUAUCUUGGUGAAUUGUCAUUAUCCUAUCGCACCUUCGAUCAGAUUCCAAAGAAAAAUGUCUACACCUGGAAUUCUAUGACAUCUGCUUAUGUUCGCCGUGGCCUUUUCCAAGAAGCUUUGUGUUGUUUCUAUCAGUUCUUGUUGACAUCUGGUCUUCAGCCUGAUUUUUACACUUUUCCUCCUGUAAUUAAAGCUUGCCGAACUUCUUUCACUUUAGCUUGCUUAUAUUGUAGAGCAGCAUUAGGAAAAUCUAGACAUUUGAAUUCUUCAGCUUUGUUAGUAUAAAGGAGCCAAAUGUAAAGUCUUUUUGCUAGAAAAAAUUCACUAGUGGAUUUGUAAUAGUUUUUUUGUCCAUGCCAA